AGCGAACGCUGGCGGCAGGCUUAACACAUGCAAGUCGAACGGUCCUUCGGGAUAGUGGCGGACGGGUGAGUAACACGUGGGAACGUACCCUUAGGUUCGGAACAACACAGGGAAACUUGUGCUAAUACCGGAUAAGCCCUUCGGGGGAAAGAUUUAUCGCCUUUGGAGCGGCCCGCGUCUGAUUAGCUUGUUGGUGAGGUAAUGGCUCACCAAGGCUACGAUCAGUAGCUGGUCUGAGAGGAUGGCCAGCCACACUGGGACUGAGACACGGCCUAGACUCCUACGGGAGGCAGCAGUGGGGAAUCUUGCGCAAUGGGCGAAAGCCUGACGCAGCCAUGCCGCGUGGAUGAUGAAGGUCUUAGGAUUGUAAAAUCCCUUCACCGGGGACGAUAAUGACGGUACCCGGAGAAGAAGCCCCGGCUAACUUCGUGCCAGCCGCCGCGGUAA
rnacentral:rRNA from 1 species